UACGGAGGGUGCAAGCGUUAAUCGGAAUUACUGGGCGUAAAGCGUGCGCAGGCGGUUUGUUAAGUCUGCUGUGAAAUCCCCGAGCUCAACUUGGGAAUUGCAGUGGAUACUGGCAAGCUGGAGUACGGUAGAGGUGAGUGGAACUGCGAGUGUAGAGGUGAAAUUCGUAGAUAUUCGCAAGAACACCAGUGGCGAAGGCGGCUCACUGGCCCGAUACUGACGCUGAGGCACGAAAGCGUGGGGAGCAAACAGG
rnacentral:rRNA from 1 species